rnacentral:lncRNA from 1 species
CUUGCUAGAGUCCUGGUCAGGUAAGUGGUCUUAUCUCCAUUUUACAGAUGAUUAAACUGAGGCUAAUGAGGCUCACUAACUUUCGGAAGCUCCAAAAGGCGGAGGAAGAGCCUGGGUCUGCAGGCAGGGCCCCAUUUGGAGUCUCCAAACCCAGCAGAUUCCUACCACGAGCUCCUGUACCUGCACUCACCUGAAGGAAAUUGAGUCUCCAUAGAUCUGCUGCUUGUUGGGUCCCUGUUGGAAGAAUAGUGGCUGGACUUUGCCUCAGAUCUGGUUUAAGGUAACGGAGCUGAGAGCCCCGCCUCUGCUCCAUCUCUGUAGCCGGCUUCCGUGCUCCUAUACCUGGGAGCUGUGUUGCACUCACGCAUCCCUGGUCUUUCUGUGACCCUGAGGUUUCUGAGACCACACUGUCCCCGCGAGGGCUCCACCCCUCGCUUAGCCUCUGGGGCAAGGUCCCUCGGUGGAGCAGACUUGUAAAAGUUUCAAUUUUGUGCCCUGUUGCUCCGCCACUUGCUGGAGCUGGCCCCUUCCCCAUAGUCUAGCUUCCCAUUGCUUCGGAUUCACUUCUCCACCUGUCCUACCUUCCAUAAAGUGGUUGCUUUUCUGUUCAUCGAAUUGCUGCUCUUCUUUGAUUUCCUAUUGAAUUUGUAGGUGUUUGAAAUGGUUUUAUAACUAUCUAGCUGAACUCCUGGGAUCGGAUGAUAUUAGGUCUCCACCGCCGCCACUGUCUUGCCCCUCCCCCCUCCAGCCUUGCCUUAUAAUCCACUGUCCAUGAU